GACGAACGCUGGCGGCGUGCUUAACACAUGCAAGUCGAACGGAAAGGCCUGCUUUCCCUUGUGGAUUGCGGGUACUCGAGUGGCGAACGGGUGAGUAACACGUGAGUGAUCUGCCCCCAACUUGGGUAUAAGCCUGGGAAACUGGGUCUAAUUCCCGAUAGGACUGCAGGGUGGUGCCUGUGGUGGAAAACGAUUUUCUUGUGGUUGGGGAUGAGCUCGCGGCGUGUCAGCUUGUUGGUGGGGUAAUGGCCGACGAAGGCUGCGACAGGUAGCCGGCCUGGGAGAGUGGGCGGGCACGUGUGGCCGGAGACACUGCGCAGGCGACUACGGGCAGCAGCAGUGGGGAGUCAGGCACAAUGGGCGGAAGCCAGAGGCAGCGACGCCGAGGGAGGGAUGACGGGCGUCGGAUGGUGAACUCCUGUUGGCCGCGAGGAAGCCACCUGGUUGGAGGGGUGGUGACGGUAGUGGUAGAAGAAGCACCGGCUAACUACGUG
rnacentral:rRNA from 1 species